UACAGAGGGGGCAAGCGUUGCUCGGAAUUACUGGGCGUAAAGGGCGCGUAGGCGGAAUGGCAAGUCGGUCGUGAAAUCCUUCGGCUCAACCGAAGAACGUCGAUCGAAACUGCCGUUCUUGAGGAUUGCAGAGGAGACUGGAAUUCCCGGUGUAGCGGUGAAAUGUGUAGAGAUCGGGAGGAACACCGGUGGCGAAGGCGGGUCUCUGGGCAAUUCCUGACGCUGAGGCGCGAAAGCGUGGGGAGCAAACAGG
rnacentral:rRNA from 1 species